rnacentral:rRNA from 1 species
UACGUAGGGUGCGAGCGUUGUCCGGAAUUACUGGGCGUAAAGAGCUCGUAGGUGGUUUGUCGCGUUGUUCGUGAAAUCUCACGGCUUAACUGUGAGCGUGCGGGCGAUACGGGCAGACUGGAGUACUGCAGGGGAGACUGGAAUUCCUGGUGUAGCGGUGGAAUGCGCAGAUAUCAGGAGGAACACCGGUGGCGAAGGCGGGUCUCUGGGCAGUAACUGACGCUGAGGAGCGAAAGCGUGGGGAGCAAACGGG